CAUUGACCGAUGGGCAGGGUUAACUUGACUUUUUCUCCUGCCUUGGGGGGGGCGAUGUGGAUUCUUUUAAGAAUGUGGAUAUUUAGGUCAUCUUUGGCGCCCCCUAGAACCUAAACCGUGGGGAGCAGCGUCAUGAUUUCUACAACUUUGAAUGGCCAUGGGAUGUAGAUCGGCUUGAGCAAAUUUGGUGUUGGUGGGACGAAAGCCUUAGGAGGAGUUAGCCACAUUCCAAUGUGUGCGAAUCGGCAAAAAAUGCGAAAUAGCCCUUUAACCGUACAUUUUACAGAUACGUGCCCAUUGACUUUUUCGUAGAUCUUAUUGAGAUACACGUGUGUGUCAAAUUUUGUGUCAUUUUGACAAAGCGUAUAGGCGUGACAGUCAACAAUGUGUUUUUUCACCUUAGGGGACAAGAAAAAAUGGACUCUUUUCUCCUGCCAUGGGGGGGCGCUCUUUUUCAGGAGUAAAAAUUCCUUUACAGAUGUGUUGAUGGCUGGACAUUGCAUCAUCCUAGAAAACUUGGAGGCCAGUGAGGACAAAAAUAAAAAGUUAUAACACUUUUAAGAAUAUGGAUAUUUGGGUCAUCUUUGGCGCCCCCUAGAACCUAAACCGUGGGGUGCAGCGUCAUGAUUUUUACAACUUUGAAUGGCCAUGGGGUGUAGAUUAGCCUGAGCAAAUUUGGUGUCAGUGGGACGAAAGCUGUAGGACGAGUUAGCCACAUUCCAAUGUGUGCGAAUCAGCAAAAAAUGCAAAAUAGCCCUUUAACCGUACAUUUUACAGAUACGUGCCCAUUGACUUUUUCGUAGAUCUUAUUGAGAUACAUGUGUGUGUCAAUUUUUGUGUCAAUAUGACAAAGCGUACAGGCGUGACAGUCAACAAUGUGUAUUUUCACCUUAGGGGACAAGAAAAAAUGGACUUUUUUCUCCUGCCAUGUGGGGGCGCUCUUUUGGGGAGUAAAAAUUCCUUCACAAAUGUGUUGAUGGCUGGACAUUGCAUCAUCCUAGAGAACUUGGAGGCCAGUGAGGAAAAAAAUAAAAAGUUAUAAGACUUUUAAGAAUGUGGAUUUUUUGGUUAUCUUUGGCGCCCCCUAGAACCUAAACCGUGGGGUGCAGCGUCAUGAUUUGUACAACUUUCGAUGGCCAUGGGGUGUAGAUUGGCCUGAGCAAAUGUGGUGCCGGUGGAACGAAAGCCUUCGGAGGAGUUAGCGAAAUUUCAAUGUGUGCGGAUCGGUAAAAAAUGCGAAAUAACCCUUUAACCGUACAUUUGACAGAUACGCCCGCACUGACUUUUUUGUAGAUCUUAUUGAGAUACAUGUGUGUGUCAAUUUUUGUGUCAAUAUGGCAAAGCGUACAGGCGUGACAGUCAACAGUGUGUAUAUUCGCCUUAGGGGACAAGAAAAAAUGGACUUUUUUCUCCUGCCAUGGGGGGGCGCUCUUUUGGCGAGUAAAAAUUCCUUCACAAAUGUGUUAAUUGCUGGACAUUGCAUCAUCCUAGAGAACUUGGAGGCCAGUGAGGACAAAAAUAAAAAGUUAUAAGACUUUUAAGACUGUGGAUUUUUGGGUUAUCUUUGGCGCCCCCUAGAACGUAAACCGUGGGGUGCAGCGUCAUGAUUUGUACAACUUUUAAUGGCCAUGGGGUGUAGAUUGGCCUGAGCAAAUGUGGUGCCGGUGGAACGAAAGCCUUCGGAGGAGUUAGCGAAAUUCCAAUGUGUGCGGAUCGGCAAAAAAUGCGAAAUAACCCUUUAACCGUACAUUUGACAGACACGCCCGUGCUGACUUUUUUGUAGAUCUUAUUGAGAUACAUGUGUGUGUCAAUUUUUGUGUCAAUAUGACAAAGCGUACAGGCGUGACAGUCAAUAGUGUGAAUUUUCACCUUAGGGGGCGCUAUGGAGCCAUUUUGCAUUUUAUUGUUUGGGUGACUUCAGAAUAUCGAAUUUUUCACCAGGCCCGGUCGUCCUGCCAAAUUUCAUGAGUUUUCGCCAGUGGGAAGUGGGCCAUUUUCCAGUUUAAAGCGGAGGAAAAAUAAUAACUAGGGCCCCGUUGGGGCACUGGCGGGCCCGAGCUGUGUCGCGCCCCCCCCCCAACGCGCUGCCUCCCCGUCCCAUUCGCGUCCUCUGGCCAUCGUCCUCUCUGGUAACGCCCAUCACUGCAAAGACCCUUUUCCUUCAUCGGGGUUUGCUGUUCUUCCUGCCAGUGCGUGUUGCUUUCACUUACACUUGCCACAGCCAGCCUCGUGAGUGCCUAGCCUAUUGGAUAUCACUGUCACCUACACAGGACAGUCAUUACCUUUCUAUUAAUACUUUGUUUUUUAAUUUCACAUUAAUUUCCAUAUUGUAUAAACGACUGGAAAAAACUUGAGCCCCUGCCCCUGUAUAAUCAUGUGCACGUCCCUGUUCUCGCUCCAAGGUGAAUCUUCACUGCUCAUGUUCUCCUCAGAAGCAGUCACCUCACUCCCCUCAGGUUACUGUACACAUGCACCAACUGCCUGCUUCAGGUUUGGAUGGAGCUUCAUGGUUGUCAUUUGGAGAAAUGAACAGUCAAGUUGUGUUUGAAAUUUGAUUUUUUUCAGGGGCAAAAGGAAGCCUCUGCAUUCUUGUCAAAUAUGUAAACAGCAUGUUUUUGCAGGUGCUAAAAAACAGACUCUGAGUGUGUGUGUGUGUGUGUGUGUGUGUGUGUGUGUGUGUGUGUGUGUGUGUGUAUAUGUGUGUGUAUCCUGCAGUACUCUGUACUCCUGCAGUGACCAAAAAGACUUUUAAGAAUGUGGAUUUUUGGGUCAUCUUUGGCGCCCCCUAGAACGUAAACCGUGGGGUGCAGCGGCAUGAUUUUUACAACUUUGAAUGGGCAUGGGGUGUAGAUUGGCCUGAGCAAAUUUGGUAUCGGUGGGACGAAAGCCUUAGAAGGAGAUAGCCACAUUCCAAUGUGUGCGAAUCGGCAAAAAAUGCAAAAUAGCCCUUUAACCGUACAUUUGACAGAUACGUGCCUAUUGACUUUUUUGUAGAUCUUAUUGAGAUACACGUGAUUGUCAAAUUGUGUGUCAAUAUGACAAAGUGUAUAGGCGUGACACUCAACAAUGUGUAUUUUUACCUUAGGAGACAAGAAAAAAUGGACUUUUUUCUCCUGCCAUGGGGGGGCGCUCUUUUGGGGAGUAAAAAUUCCUUCACAAA